UGGAGCUCUGGGCAUGCGCAGAUCGCGGCGGGAGAGAGACCUUAAUUAACCCUCCUGUGCCCGGGCCGGCCCCUGCUCCCGCUGGAGCCGCCUUAGGGCCGCCCCGGGCUCUGCCAACCCCGCUGCGGAGCUGCAGCCUCCAGGGCUGGAGAAUGACGUCCAUGUUUUGCUCCAGCUCGUCCAAUCCUCCCAUGACACAGGGAAGAGAAAUGGCUGCAGUGGAUCCAGCUCAGGGGCCGGUGACCUUCGAGGACGUGGCUGUGUAUUUCACCAG